AUACGGAGGGUGCAAGCGUUAUUCGGAAUCACUGGGCGUAAAGGACGCGUAGGCGGGUUGGCAAGUCAGAUGUGAAAUCCUACAGCUUAACUGUAGAACUGCAUUUGAAACUGCUAACCUAGAGUAUGGGAGGGGGAGAUGGAAUUAGUGGUGUAGGGGUAAAAUCCGUAGAUAUCACUAGGAAUACCGAAAGCGAAGGCGAUCUUCUGGAACAUAACUGACGCUAAGGCGUGAAAGCGUGGGGAGCAAACAGGAUUAGAAACCCUUGUAGUCC
rnacentral:rRNA from 1 species